UCUUUAAGACAAUGAGAGAGGCUGGGCGCAGCGACUCAGGCCUGUAAUCCCAGCACUUUGGGAGGUGGAGGCGGGGGGAUCACUUGAGAUCAGGAGUUGGAAACCAGUCUGGCCAACAUGGCAAAACCCUUUCUCUAGUAAAAA